AUGGGAUCUGAACAUGAUGCCAAGAAGAGAAACAAGAAUUUUUCUCUUCAUUCUUCUUCUCUCUCUCUAAUCUCUCUCUCUCUCUCUAGAUCUGAUCUAUGGAGGAAAUAUGGUGUGGAGAUGGAAGAAAGAAAGAGGAGUGGCGUUGGAUGAUCUCUAAUGGCAAGAAAGGGAGUGCCUCAAUAUAUCUCAUGCACAACCCCCUCUCUUCUUAUUUCUGUCAUACAAAAAUAAC
rnacentral:lncRNA from 1 species